rnacentral:rRNA from 1 species
UGGCGGACGGGUGAGUAACGCGUGGGUAACCUGCCUCAUACAGGGGGAUAACAGUUAGAAAUGACUGCUAAUACCGCAUAAGACCACAGUACCGCAUGGUACAGGGGUAAAAACUCCGGUGGUGUGAGAUGGACCCGCGUUUGAUUAGCUAGUUGGUGGGGUAACGGCCUACCAAGGCGACGAUCAAUAGCCGACCUGAGAGGGUGACCGGCCACAUUGGGACUGAGACACGGCCCAA